rnacentral:rRNA from 1 species
UGGGGAAUAUUGGACAAUGGGCGCAAGCCUGAUCCAGCAAUGCCGCGUGAGUGAAGAAGGCCUUAGGGUUGUAAAGCUCUUUCGGCGGGGAAGAUGAUGACGGUACCCGCAGAAGAAGCCCCGGCUAACUCCGUGCCAGCAGCCGCGGUAAUACGGAGGGGGCUAGCGUUGUUCGGAAUUACUGGGCGUAAAGGGCGCGUAGGCGGUUCGGUAAGUUAGGCGUGAAAGGCCUGGGCUCAACCCGGGAACUGCGCUUAAGACUGUCGGGCUGUGAGUCCGGGAGAGGAUGGCGGAAUUCCCAGUGUAGAGGUGAAAUUCGUAGAUAUUGGGAAGAACACCAGUGGCGAAGGCGGCCAUCUGGCCCGGUACUGACGCUGAGGCGCGAAAGCGUGGGGAGCAAACAGG